rnacentral:rRNA from 1 species
CCCCCGUUCCGUGGUCGGUAGUACAGGUGGUGGCAUAGGCGUGUCGUCAGCUCGUGUCGUGAGAUGUUGGGUUAAGGUACCGCCAACGAGCGCAACCCUACUCUUAUGUUGCCAGCACGUUAUGGUGGGGACUCGUAAGAGACUGCCGGGGUCAACUCGGAGGAAGGUGGGGACGACGUCAAGUCAUCAUGCCCCUUAUGUCCAGGGCUUCACACAUGCUACAAUGGCCAGUACAGAGGGCUGCGAGACCGUGAGGUGGAGCGAAUCCCUUAAAGCUGGUCUCAGUUCGGAUCGGGGUCUGCAACUCGACCCCGUGAAGUCGGAGUCGCUAGUAAUCGCAGAUCAGCAACGCUGCGGUGAAUACGUUCCCGGGCCUU